GCGGAUAUGGUCGAAUGGUCAAAUUUCUCUUUGCCAAGGAGAAGAUGCGG
rnacentral:tRNA from 1 species